rnacentral:rRNA from 1 species
CUCGGGCUAAUACCGGAUGUGGUACGGAGACAUAAGUCUCUUUACUAAAGGUAGCUUUCGGCUUCCGCAUUUGGGAGGGGCCCCGCGGCCCAUUAGCUAGUUGGUGGGGUCAAGGCCUACCAAGGCAACGAUGGGUAGCUGGUCUGAGAGGACGAUCAGCCACACUGGGACUGAGACACGGCCCAGACUCCUACGGGAGGCAGCAGUGGGGAAUCUUGCGCAAUGCGCGAAAGCGUGACGCAGCAACACCGCGUGAGGGAAGACGGCCUUAGGGUUGUAAACCUCUUUCAGAUGGGACGAAGGUGAUGCGGUGAAUAGCCGAUGUCAUUGACGGUACCGUCAGAAGAAGCUCCGGCUAACUACGUG